AUUUCAGAGGCUGAAGUCAUCAAGGAGAAAGUAACACCAGUUUCUUUAAAGAAAGGUAUGAAUAUCAGUGAAAUCCUCCUGCUUAUGUUGUCCCUUUCCACUGUAUAGUGAUAAAAUUAUACAUGAAAAAAAUAUUGUUUUAUAGAGCCUGAAGUUCCUAACGAAAAGGCUCAUGAACCAAAACCCCAAACAGUUGUUGUUGUUUUUCAUUACUGACCGAUAAUGUGUGCUUUCAUUUUAAACGUUUUAGAGGUUUAUAGGAGUAUAUUGAUACUGUAUUAUAUGUAUUUAGACAUCUCUGAAUAUGUUUAUAUUUUAAAAUUUCAGAAGUCAUCAAGGAGAAACCUAAACCAGCCCCUAAAAAGAAAGAGGCUGAAGUCCUCAAGGAAAAAGUUACACCUGUUUCUGUAAAGAAAGAAGUUAUCAAGGAGAAACCUAAACCAGCCCCUGAAAAGAAAGAGGCUGAAGUCAUCAAGGAGAAAGUUAAACCGGCUCCUGUAAAGAAAGAGGCUGAAGUCAUUAAAGAGAAACCCAAACCAGCUCCUGAGAAGAAAGAGGCUAAAGUCAUCAAGGAGAAAGUUAAGCCAGCUCCUGUAAAGAAAGAGCCUGAGGUUCAUAAAGAAAAGGCACCUGAACUAGUGCCAGAACCUACAAAGAAAGUUGAGGUUCCAAAGGAAAAGACAAAACCAGUUCUUAAAGAAAAGGAACCCACAAUCACCAAAGAAAAGCCAAAGCCAGCACCAAAGAAAGAAGCUGUAGCCAUCAAAGAAGCUAAAGCAGCCCCUGUGAAGGAAGAGGCUGAAAUUGUCAAAGAGAAAGCUAAACCAACCCCUGUGAAGAAAGAGGCUGAAAUCAUCAAGGAGAAAGCUAAACCAGCUCAUGAGAAGAAAGUGGCUGAAGUCUUCAAGGAGAAAGUUAAGCAAGCGCCUGUAAAGAAAAAACCUGAAGUCUCAAAAGAAAAGUUAUUAGAGCCAACACCUAAAAAAGGUGAGAACUUCCCACAUCUUUUACAAAAUGUACAAAAUACUGUGGUUGUUUUUUUUUGUUGUGUGUGUAUGUGUGUGUGUGUGUGUGUGUGUGUGUGUGUGUGUGUGUGUGUGUGUGUGUGUGUGUGUGUGUGUGUGUGUGUGUGUGUGUGUGUGUGUGUGUGUGUGUGUGUUUGUUUUUUUUUGAGCUACAACUAA
ensembl:lncRNA